rnacentral:rRNA from 1 species
UACGUAGGGUGCAAGCGUUGUCCGGAAUUAUUGGGCGUAAAGAGCUCGUAGGCGGUUUGUUGCGUCGGCUGUGAAAUCCCGAGGCUCAACUCCGGGCCUGCAGCCGAUACGGGCAGACUAGAGUUCGGCAGGGGAGACUGGAAUUCCUGGUGUAGCGGUGAAAUGCGCAGAUAUCAGGAGGAACACCGGUGGCGAAGGCGGGUCUCUGGGCCGAUACUGACGCUGAGGAGCGAAAGCGUGGGGAGCGAACAGG